GACGAACGCUGGCGGCGUGCUUAACACAUGCAAGUCGAACGGAAAGGCCCUGCUUUUGUGGGGUGCUCGAGUGGCAAACGGGUGAGUAACACGUGAGUAACCUGCCCUUGACUUUGGGAUAACUUCAGGAAACUGGGGCUAAUACCGGAUAGGAGCUCCUGCUGCAUGGUGGGGGUUGGAAAGUUUCGGCGGUUGGGGAUGGACUCGCGGCUUAUCAGCUUGCUGGUGGGGUAGUGGCUGACCAAGGCAUUGACGGGUAGCCGGCCUGAGAGGGUGACCGGCCACAUGGGGACUGAGAUACGGCCCAGACGCCUACGGGAGGCAGAAGUGGGGAAUAUUGCACAAUGGGAGGGAGCCUGAUGCAGCAACGCCGCGUGCGGGAUGACGGCCUUCGGGUUGUAAACCGCUUUCGCCUGUGACGAAGCGUGAGUGACGGUAAUGGGUAAAGAAGCACCGGCUAACUACGUG
rnacentral:rRNA from 1 species